CGGGACGGGUGAGUAACGCGUGGGUAACCUGCCUCAUACAGGGGGAUAACAGUUAGAAAUGGCUGCUAAUACCGCAUAAGGCCACAGUACUGCAUGGUACAGUGGUAAAAACUCCGGUGGUAUGAGAUGGACCCGCGUCUGAUUAGGUAGUUGGUGAGGUAACGGCCCACCAAGCCGACGAUCAGUAGCCGACCUGAGAGGGUGACCGGCCACAUUGGGACUGAGACACGGCCCAG
rnacentral:rRNA from 1 species